ensembl:lncRNA
GAAAAAAUAAGGGGGGACAUUAUGUCUUCAUAAAAGCUUGACCUCAGGUUCAGAAGCACCUACUCUCCCUGGGGCCAUUGGCUCAGGUCUCGGCACACAUAGCUUAUGUUUUUUUGACAUUCAUCUGACCUCCACGCUUUCUGAGAAUCUUAUAAUCGUCUGAGUUGGAAGGGACCUUUAAAAGCCACCUAAUCCUAUUCCCGAGCAAAGAACAGGGACACCUACAGCUGAGGGUGCACUCAAAGCCCCAUCCAGCCUGACCUUGACCAGCAAGAAGAGACCAGUAUUUACCCCAUAACCUGUCCUUCCCCAUAUAAUAAAAGGCAUCUCAUUCUCUAUGCCUUUUGUCUGUGGCAUACCCAUUCAUCCUCCAUGGCCAGCACAGAGACAUGGGGCUGCAAUCUCAACUUCUCCCAUCUCAGCUCUCCAGGGACUUGCUCCAGGGGGGUGAUAAGGGAGCGUGGGUACUUCCUGGGUGUGGGGAGAGUUGCUGGGUUUGGUCUUUUCAUGCAGGUGCUAGAAGGGAGAUUCUUGUCUUCUUUGGAGCAUAGUGUAGCUGCAGGCACAAUGCAACCACUAGUGUGGGGGAAUAGUGGGUGAUGAUCACACAGGCCCUUCACAUGGGAUGUCCUAUUGCAGAGCAAACAAGUUAGCAGUCAGUUGUGCGUAGGGGUUUUCCCUGUGCCCUAUCAGGAACCAUCCCCCCUCCCUCCCAGUUUUGCAUGCCUCCUGCUGCCUUUCAUCCUCCAGCCUCCAUGUAGCUAGAUUCCAGCGGUCUCGCCUCUGAUGCACUUGGAGAUGAGAGGCUCUGUGAGAUACAGAGACUGAUACUGGGAUUCACUGCUUCUAGGGAGUCAGUCCAGGUACAGGCUGCUGUGUGUGACAGCAGAAUUAGAUAAUGGUACUAAAAAGCUUGGGUAGAGAACAUCAAGUUCUUGCAGCCUCCUUGGGCAAAAACAUUUUGCAAAAGAAAAUCUUGCAGUUAUUAUCCUCUCUGACAUGCUCUUGUUUCCUUUUUUAUGUGGUACCUGUCAAAAAGUAUUUCUGAUGGGCUGCUAUAACAUGCCAAUUUUUUUCAUAUCUGAUGCCUUAAGUUUAACUCUAUUUAUCUUGUUUACGAAAGCUGACAAGUGAUACAGCCAUAAUAAUGCCAGCAGAAAUUGCACAGCAAUUUUACUCUGGUUCUUUUCAAGUCAGUGGAACUGUUAAAUGAGAUUAACGCAGUAGAAGGGUUUAUUGUGGCCAUGAGAAACCAGAUAGACGCAUAUCACAGAGAAGCAGUGAUAGACUAAGAGGAUCACAUACAGAGACAUUGUGCCAAAGGGGGAUUGGCAGGAUAACAUGAGUGCAUCUUUUAGCUCUUUGGAGCUGUGUCUUACUGUAUUUCUGAUAUGGUCCCCACUCAUCCUAACAGCUGUCUUUUCCUUCUCCAACACUUUGUGUAUCUUUCUGUACCUUAUUCCAACACUAGUCCUCCUUGUAGUUUGGUGAGGUUUGUUAGGAGUUCUGAGGACCUGGGAAGAAUGGCCCCUAUAUUCUCCUUAGGGUAGCCCUGGAAAACCUGUGUUGGUGGCUAUUGUUUUCAUUUGUAACUUUCCCUUGUAAAUUGCUGUUACAUAUGUUAUGACAUACAUUUCUUAUAUAUGUGUUGUUAUAUAUACAAGUCCAUGUGGCUGCCAUCAGGGACUGAACCAGAGACCUCUGGAGCAAAGAGCAUUUUGUUCAUACUUGCAAUCUUAGCAGCAGAUGGAAGCAUAAGCUCCCAUUCUCUCUGGAGCGGACAUAACUAACAGAAGAUCACAUAAGGAAUCACUGAGAUGUUGCUGUGUGGUUCCAGCUGGGAUGCAGUGCUUUUGUCCCAAACUGGGUAGGAGCCCACCUCCUGCUUAGCGUAUUUCCUAAAAGCCACUUCCUAUGUGUCUUGAAAGGCUAUUCACAUUUCGGCCCUGGCAAGAGGCAAAGAGCAAAUCUAGAAGCGUGUCCAGCUACCAGGUGGAGCAUUCAGCUAUUCAGCAGCAGUGUACAGACCAAUAGAUCCCACAAUGAAGAUGUAAGGAAGGGAGGAGCAGCUGGGCAGUGGACAAGGCUGUGAGCUUUCCAGCUCUCUGGAACAUGGCUUGAAUUUGUUCCAGCCAUUCAAGAUGAUCUUUCACUUCUUGGCAGAAGCUCACAAAGUUUCUUAGCUAAGCAAAGAGAGCACAAGACUUCAUUGUGCAUUGAUAUGGACAGACACUGGUCAUUUGAUUAUUGUUGUUGAGAAUAUAAAUGAGUGUAAUGUUGCAAAUGCCACUGGAGGAAGUGAGAGACUCCCUCAUGAGGAGGCCUUGGAUACUAUUUGUAUCCAGAAGCAUCCUGAGAUGAAAUCAUAGUUCUUUGGCUGAGUGACCAUCCUCACACUUUUUUGUUUUGUCUUUUAAUUGCACUCUGGAGGCUACUGAUGAAAGCUAAGCAUUUCCUCGCCUCCCUACCAAUAUGCUUUCCUCUCUAUCUUCAAGGUUUCCUUAUGGAUAUAUGUGCUUUGCAAUGAUCUUACAAACUUUUCUUUACAGAACUUAGGCAAGGUCUGCACCCGCACCGAGUAAGUUGCUUUUCAUACCUCAAAUAGCUAAUGAACCAAACAGAAAGGGGAUUAUCCUCCCGACUUUACAGAUGGGGAACAGUGGCACAGAUAAACUACACAACUUGCUUGUGGUUAUUCUGGAAAUCUGUAACAGAGCCAGGCCUUGAACCGAAAUUUCUGGUGUCCCUGUGCCAGACUGCAACCACAGUCUGGUCUUUCUCUCUGAAUGUACAUAUUUGUGGAGUUUUAAGGUCAGAGGAAUGAUCACCUUAUCUGGUCCGACCUCCUCAGUGUCAAGUCCAAGAAUUUCUUUGAUCAAAGCAUACAUUACAGGAUAGUAUACAGUCUGGAUUUGACACCAGGACACAGGGAAUAAUUUUACAACUUCCUUCUGUACUUUGUUCAAAUGUUUAAUCAUCUUAGCUGCUAACUUAUUUUUCGUAUGAAUGAGUCUGGAUUUAAUUUGGUUCCUGUGAUGUUUUUUUUCUGAUAGAUUAAAGGACCCUCCACUAUCUAUGUUUUCUUCCUCUCCUUUUUUUCAUGUGUCUGGAAGAAGCAGUCAGGUUGACAAGUUACUUGCUGCUGAAUCCUGGGCAUGAUUUCCUCUCACCUUGUGUCUGACUAUGAUGUUUCCCCUUUCCUUCCACAAUACAGUGAUUAGAAACCUUUAAAGAAAACAGAAAGGAGUUGAAUGGAGGACAUAAGCAAGCAAUAUUCUCUCUGCUUAUAGGUGUGGUGUCAAAGCACUGAUGCCAGUGUCCUCACUCAUAUUUAGAAUCAGAGAAUCAGAGAGUCAUAGAGUGGCUUAGCUUCAAAAAACCUUAAAGAUUAUCUAGUUCCAACCUUCUGUGGGGAGAUCAUGUUGAUUUAGAGUGAUAUCAUUUGAAAUUUGAUUCAGUUUGGUAUUGCUACCUGACAUUAAACGGGAAUCCCAGCAGAAUACCUACUACAGGACACUGAUCUUGUGGGACUCCAAUCCCAGUUUUAAAAGCCAGUGUUGCAAUGAGGCUUCCCAUUCUGUGGCUUAGAAUAUGCUAUGGACUAUGUUGGAUAAGAAGAAAGUCUCAGGACCACAAUUCUCAUCCUUUUACUAUUUACUGAAGCCUAGAUUUGACAACAAACCUUGAAUAUUACAUGGAUGGGCAUUUUCUUGUGGGUGUGGUGGUAACCAGAUUGGUGGCAUUGAAAUGAUGUGAAACACACAGUUGGGAAAAUGCACAGGAAGACCCGUGAAGGUGAAAAAAUGUAGGAACUGAAUCAUAAGUCAUACCUUUGUUUAUAAAGCAUGUGUGUACGCAUCUAGAGCAUUAAAGGAACACAUUUUCCAACAUGAAUGUUACCUAGGUUGAGGCGAAAAUCUGUGAUUUGUGUCCAUGGAGUUUAAGACCUUUUGCUCAGUUCAGAAAUGGAUUCUGAUCUAUAGCUUUCAAAAAGAUCUUCUGCUUUCCUAGUGACCCAGAGGCCACCAGUCUGUGGACUAAUAGACCACUGAUGCAUACAAGGUGUGAACACAGAGCACAAUGGUGAGAGGUGAGUCAAAACUGAUUGAUCACAGUUUUUUGUUUGUUUGUUUGUUUUAAUGCAUAAUGUCAUCAAACCUUCAGAGAAAAACAUUAGCAAACAUGAAACCCUGGUAAAGUCCUGGUGAAGUGGAGUAGAGUAUAGGCCCCUAUCUUGACCUUAAGAUUUUAUAUUUCAUGUGACCAGCUCCAGCAGUACUUCCUGCGGAGGUUGACUGCUUGAAUUGAGUAGUCAUCAUCUCUCCUUUGUCCUCUUCUGUUCCACCAAAUUGCAUGGAGAGUCCUGAACAUCAGCCUUCUGCAGACAAUCAUCUGUGUUCUCAAGCACAAGGAGAACAGUAU